UACGUAGGGUGCGAGCGUUGUCCGGAAUUAUUGGGCGUAAAGGGCUCGUAGGCGGUUUGUCACGUCGGGAGUGAAAACUCAGGGCUUAACCCUGAGCCUGCUUCCGAUACGGGCAGACUAGAGGUAUGCAGGGGAGAACGGAAUUCCUGGUGUAGCGGUGAAAUGCGCAGAUAUCAGGAGGAACACCGAUGGCGAAGGCAGUUCUCUGGGCCGUAACUGACGCUGAGGAGCGAAAGCGUGGGGAGCGAACAGG
rnacentral:rRNA from 1 species